CGUGUAGGCUGCUUGGAAAGUCGGAUGUGAAAGCCCUGGGCUCAACCUAGGAAGAGCAUUCGAAACUUCCAAGCUUGAGUUUCGGAGAGGAAGGCGGGAAUUCUCGGUGUAGAGGUGAAAUUCGUAGAUAUCGAGAGGAACAUCGGUGGCGAAGGCGGCCUUCUGGACGAUGACUGACGCUGAGACGCGAAAGCGUGGGGAGCAAACA
rnacentral:rRNA from 1 species